UACGAAGGGUGCAAACGUUGCUCGGAAUUGAUUGGGCGUAAAGCGCACGUAGGCGGCUUAGCAAGUCGGGUGUGAAAGCCCUCAGCUCAACUGAGGAAGUGCGCCCGAAACUGCAGAGCUUGAGUGCCGGAGAGGGUGGCGGAAUUCCCCAAGUAGAGGUGAAAUUCGUAGAUAUGGGGAGGAACACCGGUGGCGAAGGCGGCCACCUGGACGGUAACUGACGCUGAGACGCGAAAGCGUGGGGAGCAAACAGG
rnacentral:rRNA from 1 species